AACAAGAUCAAUAUUUCCACAGAGAGAGAGGAGAUAGAUAGAGACACGUCCGUCAGUUGUUCACUGAUAAGCUCUGGUCUAAACUCUACUGCAGGAUCACCGAUAUCUUUCCUGGAUUCUAUGGAAUAACUAACGACCUCCCCACAACUGGCAGCAGACGAUGAAUGAUCUCUUUUAAUACCAUCAACUCUCCAGCCAUAACGAAAACGACUCUAAUAUACAAGGUUUUGUAAACUGCAAUUGUGAGAGAAGCAAAGUAUUGAAUUCUAUCCUGUCUUUGUAUAUAUAUUUACCUGAACCUUCAAUGGUGGUGGUGAUCUUGACUGCUGAGCGAGAUCUCUGUAAGAUCACAACUUAAACGCAUUUGUAAACCCAUCACAUGGGGAUCCAAUAAAUCACGCCAGUGUUCAGUUACCGUUUUGGUGGCAUAAUGCAAAAAUGUCCUUGGACAUUUUAUUAAACUGAAUUACACAUGUGUUAAAACAUUAAAGCUGAUAUUUAGGGGAUAUUUUUUUCUGUUUGUACAUAAUAUGAUCUAUUUGGAUGAUAAGCACUUAGUUUGAUAAGGAUGAUGACAUAAUAUUUAUCAAUCACGGAGUAUGUAUAAUGAAUUAUUCCUACUGAGUCGUUUUGAAACGUUAAUAGAAUAGUUUUAUCACAGAUGAUGUGAUGUAGCAUGAUGAUGUUAAGCCCGUAUAAUUUAUCGUGAUCACGAUGCAUACAACACCAGACCUACGCUUAUUUCUCUGUGAUCUUGCAACGUUAAUAGAACAGUUUUAGCACAGGUGAUGUGAUGUAACAUGACGAUGUUAAGCCAUUAUAAUUUAUCAUGAUCACGAUGUAUACAACACCCGACCUACGCUUGUUUCUACUUCUUCGGCACAGUGGAAACGGGAUAUAUCAGCACAGAGGAAUUUUCGUAUAUGUCUCUUAGGGAAUGAGGAGGGGGUUCUCGUUACUACUGAAUUUUACGUAACUUCCUGUGAUAUCAAACGUAUGGAUAAUCACAUGUUUAACGUUCUCUGAGACACUUCUAUACCAUUUAUUAUCUUACAUUAUCUGUAUAAAAAUGUAUCGGUAUUAGCUACGUCUAAAAUACUUAUUUUUGCUGAAUAAUUCAAUAAAAUUUAAUUGCUAGUAUUAGAUAAGGCAUCCAUCAAACUUUAAAAUCGAUAUGAAAACAAAACUGAACUACAGCUUAAAACUAUCUAAACUUUUGCGAUAUAGGUAAAUCACAAUAAAGAUAACCAUGUUUUUUGUAUCAACUUUUAGGUACAUUAUCUAACCACAUUAUUUUCAAAAACACGCGUUCCAAUCUUUAUUGCUUAUAAGAUUGUUUGUAAGUGUGGGUUGUGUUGCACAAGUAUUAAAGGCAGCACCCCCUGAUGGAAGAUAAAUAAGUAAAAGAAAACUAAUUUCCUCUUUUAUAUUUAAGUUAACACUAAUUUCCUCUAGGGUUAUUAAAAAUUCUCCCUUGCGAUUCCGUAUUAAAGACUGUGUUAAAU